GCCCAGUGAUGAGACCAAGGCGAAUAUGAGCUAAGUGAAUGAGAGCUGGGUCCUUCUUGCCUUGAGUGGCAGGUAAUCUUGGCAGUGCAGGGGAGGGUUCCUGCUCUGCUGUAAGGGCCUGCCUACAGUGACUUGGCUCAACCCAAAUUAUUCAUUUAAAGUUUCACUGGAGUAAUUAUGGUGAUGAACCUGACAGUGUGUUUGUGUAUUUUUGUGUGAAUGUUUAGAGGCAAUGGGUAUACCCAGUUCUCGUCACAAUUCACUUAGCUAUGAGUUGUUUCUUUGGUAAUCUGAGGGUC
rnacentral:snoRNA from 1 species